CGGGUUGUAAACUCCUUUCAGCAGGGACGAAAUUGACGGUACCUGCAGAAGAAGCCCCGGCCAACUACGUGCCAGCAGCCGCGGUAAUACGUAGGGGGCGAGCGUUGUCCGGAUUCAUUGGGCGUAAAGAGCUCGUAGGCGGCUCCGUCAGUCGGGUGUGAAACCUCCAGGCUCAACCUGGAGCUGCCACCCGAUACUGCGGUGGCUUGAGUCCGGUAGGGGGCCACGGAAUUCCUGGUGUAGCGGUGAAAUGCGCAGAUAUCAGGAGGAACACCGAUGGCGAAGGCAGUGGCCUGGGCCGGUACUGACGCUGAGGAGCGAAAGCGUGGGGAGCGAACAGGAUUAGAUACCCUGGUAGUCCAUGCCGUAAACGUUGGGCACUAGGUGUGGGGGACAUUCCACGUUUUCCGCGCCGUAGCUAACGCAUUAAGCGCCCCGCCUGGGGAGUACGGCCGCAAGGCUAACACUCAAAGGAAUUGACGGGGGCCCGCACAAGCGGCGGAGCAUGCUGAUUAAUUCUAUGCAACGCGAAGAACCUUACCAAGGCUUGACAUAGGCCAGACACAUCCAGAGAUGGGUGCUUCUUCAGACUGGUGUACACGUGGUGCAUGGUUGUCGUCAGCUCGUGUCUUGAGAUGUUGGGU
rnacentral:rRNA from 1 species